AUCUAACUGAAGAGUCUCAAAUAGGACGAAACGCGCGUCCUGGAA
rnacentral:hammerhead_ribozyme from 1 species